rnacentral:lncRNA from 1 species
UGAAUGGAAACUCUAAGUGAGUGAAUCAUGGCAGACAAAAGUGUCACCUAUUUACGUUUGUCUAAAUGGGCCUUGUGCCUCUGUUUGCAUUCGUGUACUUGAUUAAGUCUCAGAAUUAUUGCAGCUUUUCUAACUCAUAUGUUAGCUCCGAAAGGUACUUGUGUGUAUAUGGUUUCAUCUAUAUUAAGGCAAGGAGAUAAAGUUUGGUUGAUGGUGGUUAUUACAAGUCGAGAUGACGCUUUUGCUGCCACAAAAUAUUUGGUAGACGUGUAUGUUAGAUCGUGCUAAUAUUUUGAGCUUAUGAGUCGAGCGCGUCCUGCGAGCACAACACAACGAGUGAGACGUUUCUUUUGCAUAUUCAUGAGAAUGAAAUGUAAAAGCUUAUUUAGAGAUUGUUUGAUAAAUAUUUUGAUAAAAAUUUUAGCAGAUUUUGAUAAAUUUUAAAAAUAUAUUAUUAUAUGAAAAUUAAACAAUAUUAUAUUGACAAAAAAUGGAAC